rnacentral:lncRNA from 1 species
UUCUGAUGCCCCGGAUUCUUACCUGUGUUCUGUUCUAUCACGUCGAUCUUCUCUGUUAGCCUCUGCAGCAGUCGGUGGUUUAACAGCUCGUAGUCUCUGCGGAUUUCGCAAGUUGGAUCAUGUCAUCCGGUAGGUUUAUUACGGCAUUCGCCUUCAGAUCCGUGGCAGGGAGAGGACACUCUCACCUGUACGUGAAAAUUGAGUGCAGAAUCUGAAGAGCAGCGGCAAUCAGGAAGGAGGAUCUGAGCAGGGAAACCCUAGAUGCGAUUCGAGCUUGCUGGUGAAGGC